rnacentral:rRNA from 1 species
UACGUAGGGGGCAAGCGUUGUCCGGAUUCAUUGGGCGUUAAGCGCGGGCAGGCGGCCCGUUAAGUCGGCCGUGAAAGCGCCGGGCUCAACUCGGCGAGGACGGGCGAGACUGACGGGCUCGAGGUUGGCAGAGGGCGGUGGAAUUCCGGGUGUAGUGGUGGAAUGCGUAGAGCUCCGGAGGAACACCAGUGGCGAAGGCGGCCGCCUGGGCCAAUACUGACGCUGAGCCGCGAAAGCGUGGGGAGCGAGCCGG